UUCGCCCUUAGAGUUUGAUCCUGGCUCAGGACGAACGCUGGCGGCGCGCCUAACACAUGCAAGUCGAACGAGCGAGAGAGAGCUUGCUUUCUCAAGCGAGUGGCGAACGGGUGAGUAACGCGUGAGGAACCUGCCUCAAAGAGGGGGAUAACAGUUGGAAACGGCUGCUAAUACCGCAUAAGCGCACAGCAUCGCAUGAUGCAGUGUGAAAAACUCCGGUGGUAUAAGAUGGACCCGCGUUGGAUUAGCUAGUUGGUGAGGUAACGGCCCACCAAGGCAACGAUCCAUAGCCGACCUGAGAGGGUGACCGGCCACAUUGGGACUGAGACACGGCCCAAACUCCUACGGGAGGCAGCAGUGGGGAAUAUUGCACAAUGGGGGAAACCCUGAUGCAGCGACGCCGCGUGAAGGAAGAAGUAUCUCGGUAUGUAAACUUCUAUCAGCAGGGAAGAUAGUGACGGUACCUGACUAAGAAGCCCCGGCUAACUACGUGCCAGCAGCCGCGGUAAAACGUAGGUCACAAGCGUUGUCCGGAAUUACUGGGUGUAAAGGGAGCGCAGGCGGGAAGACAAGUUGGAAGUGAAAUCCAUGGGCUCAACCCAUGAACUGCUUUCAAAACUGUUUUUCUUGAGUAGUGCAGAGGUAGGCGGAAUUCCCGGUGUAGCGGUGGAAUGCGUAGAUAUCGGGAGGAACACCAGUGGCGAAAGCGGCCUACUGGGCACCAACUGACGCUGAGGCUCGAAAGUGUGGGUAGCAAACAGGAUUAGAUACCCUGGUAGUCCACACUGUAAACGAUGAUUACUAGGUGUUGGAGGAUUGACCCCUUCAGUGCCGCAGUUAACACAAUAAGUAAUCCACCUGGGGAGUACGACCGCAAGGUUGAAACUCAAAGGAAUUGACGGGGGCCCGCACAAGCAGUGGAGUAUGUGGUUUAAUUCGACGCAACGCGAAGAACCUUACCAAGUCUUGACAUCCUGCGACGGACAUAGAAAUAUGUUUUUCCUUCGGGACGCAGAGACAGGUGGUGCAUGGUUGUCGUCAGCUCGUGUCGUGAGAUGUUGGGUUAAGUCCCGCAACGAGCGCAACCCUUAUGGUCAGUUACUACGCAAGAGGACUCUGGCCAGACUGCCGUUGACAAAACGGAGGAAGGUGGGGAUGACGUCAAAUCAUCAUGCCCUUUAUGACUUGGGCUACACACGUACUACAAUGGCGUUAAACAAAGAGAAGCAAGACCGCGAGGUGGAGCAAAACUCAGAAACAACGUCCCAGUUCGGACUGCAGGCUGCAACUCGCCUGCACGAAGUCGGAAUUGCUAGUAAUCGCAGAUCAGCAUGCUGCGGUGAAUACGUUCCCGGGCCUUGUACACACCGCCCGUCA
rnacentral:rRNA from 1 species